rnacentral:tRNA from 1 species
GCGGAUAUAACUCAACUGGUAGAGUGUCAGUUUUCCAAACUGAACGUUUACGGUUCAAAUCCGUCUAUCCGCUUCA